GCAAGUCGAACGAAGUAGCAAUACUUAGUGGCAGACGGGUGAGUAACAUGUGGGUAUCUACCCUUUGGCCUGGAAUAACACGAGGAAACUUGUGCUAAUACCGGAUAAGUCUUUACGGAGAAAGCUUUAUGCACCAUUGGAUGAGCCUGCACUUGAUUAGUUUGUUGGUAGGGUAAAGGCUUACCAAGGCGACGAUCAGUAGCUGGUCUGAGAGGAUGAUC
rnacentral:rRNA from 1 species